AGGGAUUAAAUCUGUCUAAAGCCGCGGAAGGACCGAUACAUCCACAUAAACGUUAACAAUAAGACAAGACAAUGUUUUUCUCCGAGGGCAUAUACGUUUGUUAGAAUACAGAUUACAAUUCAUCAGAAGACAGAUCAAUAAAUAAAAAUAAAUAAAAAGACGGAUUUUUGUUUUGGAUGGCUCAACACAGGAUGGCUGUGGAGCGAUCCACCGCAGCCCUACUAGUUGUAAUGGGUGUCAUUGUGGGUACCCUCGCUGACAUGCCACAUACAUAUUCAACUGGAUCUCCCACAACGUUUGGAGUAUUGAACACCAAUUCAAACACUACAAUCAGUCCAUCAACUCCAACCUCAGCGCCAACUUUUAAGUUGAAGGCUACAAUAUCAAAGCCUUUCACUGCAGAGUUAACAAACCAAACAACUAAAGAAUUUCAAGAACUGGCAUCGGCUGUUAUCAUGGUGUGUAAUGAGUUCUUUCGGAAGACAUAUGGGCUGGUUUUCAACACCACGAAUGUCCUGGGAUUCAGUUCGUCCACGACUGGUAAGACUACAGUAGAGGGGGAGCUUGUAUUUAAUGAUACAGCCUCACCUGAAGAGAUCCCAUCAGCAAGUGAAGUUUUGAACACCAUGAGAUUGGCUGCAGCAGCAACCUGUUCGAGCGGAAUCUCAAUUGAUACGGAUUCUAUAGCUGUAACAGAAACGCCAACCUCAACGACAGCACCAACAACAACUACGGAAACUCCAGAUUCCUCAGUUCCUACUGUGUCUUUCACGGUAGAGGCUACACUAUCAAAGCCUUUCACUGCAGAG